AUGAAAAUUUAGAAAUAAACUGGUAUCAAAAACCAACUUGGUCAGGUAGAUAUUUAAAUUAUUAUUCAUAUCACCCAAUUUCACAAAAAAUAGGCAUAAUAUAUCAUUUAAUAGAUAAAGUUUUUUAUAUUGCAGAUGAAAAAUACAAACAAGAAAAUUUAAAAUUAAUUAAAAAUGCUUUAAUAGAUAAUAACUACCCAAUAGAUUUCAUUAACAAAUAUUGUAAUAAGAGAUGGAAACAUCUAGUAGAUAAAAAAAAUAAUAAAAUCAACAAUAGAAACAUUACAAAUAAUUUAGAUAUGUCUAAAACUAUUAGUUUCCCACAUGAUGAUAAUUUGAACAUAUUUCUAAGAAACGUUUUUAGAAAAUAUAAAAUUCCGGUAACCUUUAAAAUUGAAAAUAGUUUAAAACAGUUCUAUAAUAGUGGAAAGGAUCCUAUAAAUCAUUUAGAAAAAUCAGAUUGUAUUUAUAAAGUAAAUUGUAUGAAUUGUGAAAAAUGUUAUGUUAGCCAAACGAAAAGAUGGCUUAAAACUAGAAUAAAUGAACAUAAAAACAAUAUUAAACUUAGCCCAAGCAAACAUAACAUGCUUACAAUUCAUAGAAUUAAUAAAGACCAUAAUUUUAAUUAUGAUCAAGUUAAAAUUUUAGAUACAGAAUCAAAUUACAGAAAAAGAUUAAUAUUAGAAUCAAUAUAUAUAGAAAAAGAUAAAAAUACAGUCAACAAAAGAAAAGAUACAGAAAAUUUAAAUGAGUCUUAUAACAACCCUAUUAAACAAAAAUAGAGUCAAUAUUCACCAACAUUCAUAAAAUUUAAAUUAUACAAAUAAAUUACAAAACCAUAUUAUCUACAAUAGUAGAACUAUAAUAGAGUCAGAUAUAACAACAAUGAACUAAAUUUAAUAGUAAUUAUAAUAUUCACCAACAGUCAUAAUAUUUAAAAUUUAUACAAAUAAAUUAAAAUACCACAUUAUCUACAAUAGUACAAGUAAAAGAUCAAAAAUCAAUGUACCGAUAAAUAAAAUAACUCGAUUACCGACAACUACAAGAUAAAAAAUCAAUGUAUAAAUAAAUAAAAUAACUCUAUUACCGACUACAAACUAACCAAAAAAUAUCACAUUAUAACAUCAAUCGUUGAAGGUACAACAUUAUAAAAUUUCUUUAUAUAUAACAAUAAAAUAACAAUAGUUAAUAAUUAUAAAAUAUAAAUUACUUGUCAAAAUGAAAAAGAAAAAGAAGAAAAAAAUCAUUUACGUAAAUUUUUCACAUUUAAUAAGAUUUAUAAUUAGUAAAAUUGUAUUUAAACUUAAAUAAUAAUUUCAUAUUUGUAUUAAAAAUUUCCACGUUUCAAUAUUGAAGUCUGAAGAUGCCAUCCCCGGGAGGUUGGCGAAAUAUUACUGAAUAAAAUAUUUGAAAUUGGAUUGGAUUGCCAGUGAAGUCAUUUUAUAUUAUUAUUAUUGUUAAUUUUAUUAAUUCUAUAAUUAUUAAUAAUGCUUCUAUUGUUACUAGAAUUUUUUCAUUAUUUUAACUCAAAAUUAAUUAAAAACAAAAUAAAAUUCAAUUACCUGUUGUGGUUAUAACCUCGAAAUUCUUCUUGAAUAUUAUACACAAAUUACAUAUAAUAUAAAUAUAUAUUUGUAAAUAUAAUAAUUAGUAUUUAAAUAACAUAUUUUUGUUUGUGACAAAAUACUUAUUACGCGUAGAAUUAUUGUUAAUUAUUAAUAAAAAAUGUAUCUCUAUUAAGAGAGAAUACCUAAUUGUCAAACCUAAAUAUUUAUAUAUCUAUAUCGUACAAGAGAAUAUUACCACACACAAGUUGGCAGCAGUGCGCGGCGGACAUUUACCGGUUACUAACUCGCACUGGGCGGCGUCGCGCCGCUUUUCAAUUUCUUUCGCAUGAAAAUAUUUUUUUUUAACAAAAUAAUUUAUUUCUUAGGAGCGGCUAAUGCUAGAAAUUCGUUUAG